AACCUGGUUGAUCCUGCCAGUGGUAUAUGCUUGUCUCUAGGACUAAGCCAUGCAAGUGCCAGUAUNAGUGCCUUAUACAACAAAACUGCGAAUGGCUCGGUAAAACAGCUAUAAUUUUUUCGGGGAUAAUACUACUCGGAUAACCGUAGUAAUUCUAGAGCUAAUACGUGCCACAAGACGGAGCAAUUUUUUGCUUCGUGGUACUAUUCAGANACACAAGCCAAUUUAUUGGUGAUUCAUGAAUAUUCGUCUGAUCGCACUUUUGUNUGUGNGACGCCCCGAUCAAAUUUCUGACCUAUCAACUAUGAUGGUAAGGUAGUGUCUUACCAUGGUUGUGACGGGUAACGGACCGNGGGUGCGGGAUUCCGGAGAGGGAGCCUGAGAAACGGCUACCACAUCCAAGGAAGGCAGCAGNNNNNNNNCUUACCCAAUCCGAACACCGGGAGGUAGUGACAAGAAAUAUCAAUAGAGGGCCCGAUGGGCUCUCUAAUUGGAAUGAGAACAAUGUAAAAACCUUAUCGAGGAUCCAGCAGAGGGCAAGUCUGGUGCCAGCAGCCGCGGUAAUUCCAGCUCUGUAAGCGUAUACCAAAGUUGUUGCAGUUAAAACGCUCGUAGUCGAACCUUGGCGGGUGACGCGGGCUGCCCGUGAGGGUGGCCUUGCGGCAAACGUCUUUGUGGAGGGGGGCUUUGUGGUGCUUUACUGCAUUGUGAAGUUCCUGCCACCGUUUACUGUGAAAAAAUCAGAGUGUUCAAAGCAAGCGAUUGCCCUGAAUACAUUAGCAUGGAAUAAUAGAAUAAGACCUGGUCUUGUUUUGAUUGGUUUGUAAAGCUCGGGUAAUGAUUAAAAGGGACGGUCGGGGGCAUUUGUAUUCCGGCGCUAGAGGUGAAAUUCUUGGAUUGCCGGAAGACAAACAGCUGCGAAAGCGUCUGCCAAGGACGUUUUCAUUGAUCAAGAACGAAAGUAAGGGGAUCGAAGACGAUCAGAUACCGUCGUAGUCUUUACUAUAAACGAUGAGGACUGGGGAUCGGACGUGGCAAUUUUUGGUACNUUCGGCACCCUCCGGGAAACCAAAGUAUUUGCUUUCUGGGGGGAGUAUGGUCGCAAGGCUGAAACUUAAAGGAAUUGACGGAAGGGCAUCACCGGGUGUGGAGCCUGCGGCUUAAUUUGACUCAACACGGGAAAACUUACCAGGUCCAGACAUAGUAAGGAUUGACAGAUUGAGAGCUCUUUCUUGAUUCUAUGGUUGGUGGUGCAUGGCCGUUCUUAGUUGGUGGAGUGAUCUGUCUGGUUAAUUCCGUUAACGAGCGAGACCUGGGCGUGCUAGCUGGGCGCUACUAGCGAUUACGUUAGUAAGGUAGCCCUCCUAGACGGACUCCAGGCGUCUAGUCUGUGGAAGCUCCAGGCAAUAACAGGUCUGAGAUGCCCUUAGAUGUUCUGGGCCGCACGCGUGCUACACUGAGUGGAUCAACGGGUGAGGUAGUGCGAAAGCGCGACCUAAUCUCUAAAUCCACUCGUGCUGGGGAUUGAGGNUUGCAAUUUUCCCUCAUGAACGAGGAAUACCUUGUAAGCGUGGGUCAUCAUCCCACGCUGAAUANGUCCCUGCCCUUUGUACACACCGCCCGUCGCUCCUACCGAUUGAGUGGUCCGGUGAGGCCUUGGGAGAGCUGCGCGGACUGUGAUUAUUCACGGACUGCAUGGUUCAAACUUGGUCAAACCUUAUCACUUAGAGGAAGGAGAAGUCGUAACAAGGUUUCCGUAGGUGAACCUGCAGAAGGAUCA
rnacentral:rRNA from 1 species